rnacentral:lncRNA from 1 species
UAGAAACCCUUCACUGCUGGCUGGUUGUGCCUCUCUCUCUCCUCUUCUUCCUUUUGAACAGCUUCAUAGAGAAAGAGAGAGAUGAAGGGUGGUGGUGGAGCUGACAAGCUUGAGAGGAAGACGGUGGAGAAGAACAGGAGAAUCCACAUGAAGAACCUCUGCGUCCAGCUCACUUCCCUCAUCCCCAAGUCCAAGGUACGUAUAAAAACGGCUGCUAAUCUACUCAAACCUUCCUCUGCCCUGUCCAAAACUGCCCGGGGAAGAUGGAAGAACUCGGCCGGACCAGUUUCACGCUUUAAUUCUUGUCUUUGGUCUGUGCAAACUCGGAGAUCCACAUACCACCACAAACGAUUUGAUAGUGUUAUCUCCAAUCCCAAAAGCUUACACUGGAUUAGGUUUGGCACAUGAAACUCACAACCUGCACUUAAAGAUUUGGCUAUGCUCCAUUGCCGCCGCCAACGAGGAAGCUUUCGGCUCUCCCUCUGUUGGUACUGCACCAGGAGUAAUCAACACGACUGGUACAGCAAUUUGCUUCGACUGUCAUCCCCGUGGCAGCAUUGUCCUUGUUCAUCAUAC